rnacentral:rRNA from 1 species
CCUUAGAGUUUGAUCCUGGCUCAGGAUGAACGCUGGCGGCGUGCCUAACACAUGCAAGUCGAGCGGAAAUAUUGCGAAGUAUUCGUACGGAGCGGUAUUUUAGCGGCGGACGGGUGAGUAACACGUGAGCAACCUGCCUUCAGCUGGGGAAUAACAUUGGGAAACCAGUGCUAAUACCGCAUGACAUCACGAGAGGACAUCCUCUUGUGAUCAAAGGAUUUCGAUCCGGCCGAAGAUGGGCUCGCGUCCGAUUAGUUAGUUGGUGAGGUAACGGCUCACCAAGACCGCGAUCGGUAGCCGAACUGAGAGGUUGAUCGGCCACAUUGGGACUGAGACACGGCCCAGACUCCUACGGGAGGCAGCAGUGGGGAAUAUUGGGCAAUGGGGGAAACCCUGACCCAGCAACGCCGCGUGAAGGACGAAGGCCUUCGGGUUGUAAACUUCUUUGGUCAGGGACGAAAGACAUGACGGUACCUGAAGAACAAGCCACGGCUAACUACGUGCCAGCAGCCGCGGUAAUACGUAGGUGGCGAGCGUUAUCCGGAUUUACUGGGUGUAAAGGGCGUGCAGGCGGGUCAUCAAGUCGGGUGUGAAAUUUCCGGGCUUAACCCGGACAGGUCAUCCGAAACUGGAGAUCUUGAGUGCUGGAGAGGAUAGUGGAAUUCCUGGU